AAAACGGUAAUUUCGUAGAUUUGAAUUCCAUUUUAAACGGUUUGAAUUGAAUUCCAUAAAGUUCUGUGCGUUUCUUUCAUCUUUGCUUUCUUCAGCAAUCUCAAUUUGGUACUCUUUCUACACUGAUUCAAGCCCUUGAAUCAUGGGAUUUUGACAUUUUGUGGUGUAUAUGCUUGUAUCUGGGAAUAUGGUGUGAAGCUCCGUGAAGAAACAACCUUGUGAGUUGUGAUUCUAUAUAUAUACAUAAUCCGCGAGAACAAGUGACGAAUUACAUAGUUGAGGGUUGAAAUUGUUGGAGAUGAGCAUUUGAGAGAGAAUUCGGGGACAGCAAGAUUCUGAAGUGGUGGAGUCAUAAAAGACCAAGAGGUUUGUAUCACUUGGCUGGACUGAACAGUCGCUGGUUCUAGGUUGAUGAGCCUCUACUUAGUGCAUUCAUUGAGAGGUGAUGUCCUGAGACGCACACCUUCUACAUGCUGUUUGGAGAAUGCACCAUCACUCUGCAGGACCACUAGCCACCUCAUAUGUUUGCUGCCGAACCAAACAGUUCUCGAAUGGAACAAAAUCAACUGCCACCGUACGGUCUAAAUCAGCCGCAAAUGAAGGAGAUGCAACAUACGAAUGAGCUGGUGCAACCGCAGCCAUUGAACUAGAAGCACCGCCCAUGGCAGUCGAGUGAGGAAUCGGAGCUGAUGCCCCAAAACUGUCGACACUGACGUCCAACUUAGCGUACAGCUCGCGUUCUGACCUCUGGAAAACUCCUAUGACAAUGAAACAGAACCCAAAGAUCUUCAUCGGACGCUAUCACAAACAUAUUAUAUUUCACACCGGUUGACACAACUGUGAUAGGGAUCUUAUAAAAUAACUUCUUUACCCACUUGUUCCUAAACACUCAAAACUUUUGCAAUAUGCUGUUCUUUAGAUCUAACAAGGUAUUCGAUGAACUGAUAAAUACACUUAAGAGUUCUCUGUCAGUGAACUUUACGCCAUAUUUUUUGCUUCUAUGAAUUUUUCCAGAGCAAUGCGCUAGCGCUAGGAAACUCUCUUCCUCACUUGCCAUUGUAAAAAUGAUCCUCUUCUACACAACUGCUUUUACCGUGUAUAUAUAUAUUUUUUACUCCUCAUAAACAAUAGUAGGAGAAGAAAGGAUUAUGUAUGCAUGGCUACUAUUCAUAAAUCGUGGAAGGGGUACCACAAUUUAUGUAUUUUUUGCCUUGUUCAAAAAUCGUA